GACGAACGCUGGCGGCGUGCUUAACACAUGCAAGUCGAACGGAAAGGCCCUGCUUUUGUGGGGUGCUCGAGUGGCGAACGGGUGAGUAACACGUGAGUAACCUGCCCUUGACUUUGGGAUAACUUCAGGAAACUGGGGCUAAUACCGGAUAGGAGCUCCUGCUGCAUGGUGGGGGUUGGAAAGUUUCGGCGGUUGGGGCUGGACUCGCGGCUUAUCAGCUUGUUGGUGGGGUAGUGGCUUACCAAGGCUUUGACGGGUAGCCGGCCUGAGCGGGUGACCGGCCACAUGGGGACUGAGAUAGGGCCCAGACUCCUACGGGAGGCAGCAGUGGGGAAUAUUGCACAAUGGGCGGAAGCCUGAUGCAGCAACGCCGCGUGCGGGAUGACGGCCUUCGGGUUGUAAACCGCUUUCGCCUGUGACGAAGCGUGAGUGACGGUAAUGGGUAAAGAAGCACCGGCUAACUACGUG
rnacentral:rRNA from 1 species